UACAGGGGGUGCAAGCGUUGCUCGGAAUCACUGGGCGUAAAGCGAACGCAGGCGGACCUGCAAGUCAGGGGUGAAAGCCCGAGGCUCAACCUCGGAACUGCCUUUGAAACUGCAGGUCUUGAGUACGGGAGAGGUGAGUGGAAUUCCUGGUGUAGAGGUGAAAUUCGUAGAUAUCAGGAGGAACACCGGUGGCGAAAGCGGCUCACUGGCCCGAUACUGACGCUCAUGUUCGAAAGCGUGGGGAGCAAACAGG
rnacentral:rRNA from 1 species